rnacentral:rRNA from 1 species
AUUGAACGCUGGCGGCAGGCCUAACACAUGCAAGUCGAGCGGAAACGACUUAACUGAACCUUCGGGGAACGUUAAGGGCGUCGAGCGGCGGACGGGUGAGUAAUGCCUGGGAAAUUGCCCUGAUGUGGGGGAUAACCAUUGGAAACGAUGGCUAAUACCGCAUAAUAGCUUCGGCUCAAAGAGGGGGACCUUCGGGCCUCUCGCGUCAGGAUAUGCCCAGGUGGGAUUAGCUAGUUGGUGAGGUAAGGGCUCACCAAGGCGACGAUCCCUAGCUGGUCUGAGAGGAUGAUCAGCCACACUGGAACUGAGACACGGUCCAGACUCCUACGGGAGGCAGCAGUGGGGAAUAUUGCACAAUGGGCGCAAGCCUGAUGCAGCCAUGCCGCGUGUAUGAAGAAGGCCUUCGGGUUGUAAAGUACUUUCAGCAGUGAGGAAGGGGUGUAYGUUAAUAGCGUGCAUCUUUGACGUUAGCUGCAGAAGAAGCACCG